AGAGUUUGAUCCUGGCUCAGAGUGAACGCUGGCGGCAGGCCUAACACAUGCAAGUCGAGCGGCAGCGCGGUGUAGCAAUACACUGGCGGCGAGCGGCGGACGGGUGAGGAAUGCGUCGGAAUCUGCCUUUUUGUGGGGGAUAACGUAGGGAAACUUACGCUAAUACCGCAUACGACCUACGGGUGAAAGUGGGGGACCGCAAGGCCUCACGCAGAAAGAUGAGCCGACGCCGGAUUAGCUAGUUGGCGGGGUAAAGGCCCACCAAGGCGACGAUCCGUAGCUGGUCUGAGAGGAUGAUCAGCCACACUGGAACUGAAACACGGUCCAGACUCCUACCGGGAAGGCAGCAGUGGGGGAAUAUUGGACAAUGGGGGGCAGCCUGGAUCCAGCCAUGGCCCGUGGGUGAAGAAAGGCUUCCGGGUGGAAAGCCCUUUUGUGCCGAAAGAAAAGCAUUCGGUUAAAAACCGGGUGGCCUGACCGUACCGGAAGAAAUAAGCCCCGGCUAAAUUCUUGCCACAAGCCCCGGGAAUUCCAAGGGGGCGACGUUACUCGGAAUUACUGGGGGUAAACGUGCGUGGGGGGUCCGUUAAUCUUGAGAUGGAGCCCUGGGCUCACCCUGGGAAUGGAUUGGAUACUGGCGAACUACAAUGCGGCAAAGGGAGUGGGAAUUCCCCGCUGUGCACUGAAUGCGUAGAUUUCGGAGGGAAAUUCUGUGGCCGAGAGGAAACCCUGAGCCACACAUGAACUUGAUGACUAAGCGUUGGGGGACAAACGAUAUUAGACCCCGUGUUUCCCGCCCUCUAAAACGAUGCGAAACUGGGAUGUGGGGGUGCAAUUUCGCCCUUUAAUUUCGAAAGUUAACGUUUUAUAAUUUUCCCCCCCUGGGAAAGUACGGUUCGCAAAGACUUAAAUUUUAAAGGGAUUUGCGGGGGGCCCCCCCCCAAGGGGGGGGAGUAUGGGGUUUUAUUUUGGAGAAAAGGGGAAAAACCUUUCCUGGCCCUGGACUUUUUGGGGAUUCCUUUUAGAAGAUAGAGGGGUCCUUUGGGAACCCAAAACCCCGGGGGUGCCAUGGCUUUUUUAAGUUCGUUGUCGGGAAAUGUUGGGUUUAAAUUCCCGCAAACGAGGGCCAACCCUUUGUCCUUAGUUGCCCAGCCAGGUAAUGGUGGGAACUUUUAAGGAGGACCCGCCGGUGACAAAACCCGGAGGGAAGGUGGGGGAUGACGUCCAAUUCAUCAUGGCCCUUACGGCCCAGGGGCUACACACGUACUUACAAUGGGAAGGACAGAGGGCUGCAAACCCCGCGAGGGCAAGCCAAUCCCAGAAACCUUCUCUCAGUCCGGAUUGGAGUCUGCAACUCGACUCCAUGAAGUCGGAAUCGCUAGUAAUCGCAGAUCAGCAUUGCUGCGGUGAAUACGUUCCCGGGCCUUGUACACACCGCCCGUCACACCAUGGGAGUUUGUUGCACCAGAAGCAGGUAGCUUAACCUUCGGGAGGGCGCUUGCCACGGUGUGGCCGAUGACUGGGGUGAAGUCGUAACAAGGUAACC
rnacentral:rRNA from 1 species